rnacentral:lncRNA from 10 species
GUAAUCUGUUUUAAUUGUGAUAAACACUCCAUAAAUAAAUAUUUGUUCACAUCCUGAUUAUAUCCUUCAGAUAAAUUUCUAGAAAUGUCGCUGGUAGGUCAAUGGAUAUGUGUAUUUUUCAGGCUUUAUUUUUCUGUUGCCAAAUUUCUCUCCAGAAAAGGAAUGCCAAUUUAUAAGACAAGAGCAUGCCCAUUUCUUCAUACUAUCACUAAUGCUUGACAAUUAAUUUAA